UACAGAGGGGGCAAGCGUUGUUCGGAAUUACUGGGCGUAAAGGGCGCGUAGGCGCCUUCUAAGUCAGACGUGAAAUCCCUCGGCUCAACCGGGGAACUGCGUCUGAGACUGGAAGGCUUGAAUCCGGGAGAGGGAUGUGGAAUUCCAGGUGUAGCGGUGAAAUGCGUAGAUAUCUGGAGGAACACCGGUGGCGAAGGCGGCAUCCUGGGACCGGUAUUGACGCUGAGGCGCGAAAGCCAGGGGAGCAAAGCGGG
rnacentral:rRNA from 1 species